UGUGGGUGGCGGUGGUGUGAACUGCCGAGCUGCGCUGACAGUCCUGUCUCAUUUACUGACAGAGCAUCGUGGACACCGUCCCACAUCUGGUGGCCCACGGCCAGAAUGUAUGCGAGCGCACAGCCAUCUUGUUCUACUGCCCACCGAGGGGCCCCGGGGAGCCGCUCUCUGCCUUCCCCGCGCUGGGUGGCUCCGGCUCUUGGUCAUCCAGGUCAAAGGAAGAAGGCAGGAGAGGGAGCGGGUGGCACCGUACCGCCUGCUUGUGUUUUGCUUUCCCGGGAAGAGCUUCCGUGGUGUCGCCCGGGGUGUGUUAAGCCGCCCAGUUAAAUCCAGGGACUGGAAGCAGAGAAACCGCCCCUGGAAUGGGUUGUCUUGUUUCAUUAGGAAGGUCCCAGGGCGGAGCACGCCCACUCCUUCCGGAAGUCCACUCUGCAGUCUAAUAGAUCUUGUUGUCAAAUGCUUUGUUGCCCCUUGACUGGGACUGGGGCGUGGGCGUGGGCACGGCGCGCGCAGCCGGGAGCCCCCGCCAAGCCCCUGCCCCGUGGCGCGCCCUUUGGCUGGUGUGGAACGGGCGCCCCUCUGCUUCUGGUCUUUUCCAGGGAGUGGCACGCGCAUCCCCUCUGCUCCCAUCAGCCCCCGGCUCGCAUCGGGACCCGGCUCCUCAGGAGGAGGCCCCCGGGGACGUGGCCCGGGAUUUCGUUUUCAAUUCUGAACGCUUGGGCCGCCUGAUCCCGACUGCUGCAGAUCGCGGUGCUGCACGAUUUGUCCCGGGAACUCUUCACGGGCAAGACGUCGGCUGACGUCUCGGUCCGCGUGGGCCCUUGCGGAAGAGUCUGUGCCCCCGCUGCUCGAACGCCCGCCUCUGCCUCUCAGCCUGCUUCCGAAGGGCCCUCGCUGCCGCUCGGAAGCCAAGAGCCGUCCCUGGAGGCCCCGGGCCCCUCCUCACGUGCCCAGCGGCCUGUUGACGGAUGAGGCGACCCGAAGAGAAAGACUUGCCUGACUGCGCCUGGCAGCCGGCCUCUGCGGUGGGCCAAGUGGCUUCCGACCGCUGCCGUGGAGGCCGUGGCCUGGCCGUGAGGCUGCCCUGCAAGGCCCGGGACCCAGACCGCGUCUACUCCCACGUAUUAACAAGCUCCAAGCGAGGCGGUACCCACACAUUAUCACUUGUCACCACGGCUAAUAGCUACCAGAUACUGAUGACUUCAGGCAGAGGUGUUUUGCUAGCGCUUUGUAUGAGAACUGAUCAAUUUAAACUCUGUCUUUGAGGCAAAUCCCCACCAAUCUAUAGAAAAGAGCAGGUGGCGUAGGCGACCUACUGAUAAUUGUUCUCUAGAAGAUUAUUUAUUAAAUGAGUGACAAAGUAAAACUAAACAAGAGGCAAGCGAGAGACCCACCUCCCCCAAAUUCUUGUGUCAGCACUUGGACUUUCUCGAAAGAUCCAGAGUUUCUAGAAUCUUGGUCCUCCAAGUGUGGCCAGCAAGAGCAGUGCCCCUGGAGACCAUUGGAACAGCGGAAUCUUGGCUUUGUCCACACCUGGAGUUUGAGCGCUCAGGGGCCUUUGGGCCAGGUGUGUCUGCAGGCGGCUCUCUUUGGCCCCUCCUGGUUUGUGACGAAACUUCCAGACUGAUGCUUUGCCUGGGGUGCGCUGAGUUACUCCAUAAAUGCCAAAAAGACAUCACCAGGACUACUACAUAGCAGAGCCCCGCAAGGGACAUCUCCAGAAUACCAUGGGUGCUGCCUCAGAGGACAAACAGCUCCCUCCCACAAGGGCGCGGUGUGCGCCGCAUGCAUCUCAAGCCCGCGCUUUAUGACAGCGUCGACAUUUUUAAAUAUGUAGCAAUACAUGCUAAAGUGCCGUAAGAACACAUUUUCUGGAGAUAAUAGCCGUUGCAAUUCUUGGACAAGUGCAAUAUUUAGAGGUAAACAGUGUGGCCAUAAACCUUACAAAAGUAAAUAAAAGAGCUGUUAUCCUAGAAUCUCAUUCUGGAUAUAUACCAUUACUUAAAUACUGCCAGAAGUUGUUUUCUCCACCCUACAUGGAAUAACUCUCAGCUUUGGGCAUCCUUGGAACUCACUUUAGCUUUGGCUGUGUUUGCUGAAGA